rnacentral:miRNA from 1 species
UGCCUCCCUGACAUUCCACAG